rnacentral:rRNA from 1 species
GGAGGCAGCAGUAGGGAAUCUUCGGCAAUGGACGAAAGUCUGACCGAGCAACGCCGCGUGAGUGAAGAAGGUUUUCGGAUCGUAAAACUCUGUUGUUAGAGAAGAACAAGGAUGAGAGUAACUGUUCAUCCCUUGACGGUAUCUAACCAGAAAGCCACGGCUAACUACGUGCCAGCAGCCGCGGUAAUACGUAGGUGGCAAGCGUUGUCCGGAUUUAUUGGGCGUAAAGCGAGCGCAGGCGGUUUCUUAAGUCUGAUGUGAAAGCCCCCGGCUCAACCGGGGAGGGUCAUUGGAAACUGGGAGACUUGAGUGCAGAAGAGGAGAGUGGAAUUCCAUGUGUAGCGGUGAAAUGCGUAGAUAUAUGGAGGAACACCAGUGGCGAAGGCGGCUCUCUGGUCUGUAACUGACGCUGAGGCUCGAAAGCGUGGGGAGCAAACAGGAUUAGAUACCCUGCUAGUCCACG